CCUCAAUCAAGACAUUGGGCAUAAAACCAAAUCCUAUUAUUGUAAUUAUCUUAUUACCCCCAAACUAAAUUGUACUGAUCCCAGGCAGAAAGAAGAAUGGUGAAGCUCCUAAGAUUCUCAUUAGUGCUUCUGUGGUUUCAACUUGCCUGGGUGAGUGGCCAGAAGAAGGUGGAGCAGAUUCCGCAGUCCCUGAGUUUGCAAGAAGGAGAGAAUGUCACCAUAAAGUGCAAUUACUCAUUUACCGAAAACAGUCUACAGUGGUUCAGACAGGAUCCUCAGGAAGGUAUUGUCUCCUUAUUUGUACUGACUAUAGGGGUGAAGAAGAAAGGAAGAUUUGGAGCCUCAAUCACCUCCAAAGAACGGCACAGCUUCUUACACAUCACCAACUCCAAGCCUGAAGACUCAGGCACCUACCUGUGCGCUGUGGAGGCACAGUGGGCCCCAGGCACCUGCAAACUGUGCAUAAAACCUCCAGUUAGGGUCUUAGCCAUACGCCCUAUUACAGGGUGACACAAUAUCAGGAUGUUUACAAUGUCUUAUCUUUCAGAGUGUAUCAUGAAAGCAUUGGCAGUCUAACGUCAUUUUUAGAAUCUCCUUUGGAAAUUAGACUAUGGUUUCCAGUCCUACCCCACAAUUUCAGUUACUUUCCAAGCUGUAGGGAGUAAGGGAAGAGUAAAGAUUUCUGAAAGACAGGGAAAGCGAAAGUCCCAUGACUGGCUCACUCAGUUCAGGCCAUGUGAGAGGCUGGAAACUUGUUGAGUAAAGGGAGAGUAAGAGACUUAAAAAGUUUUGGAUACUCAUGGCUCAAACGGUACACUGGCUUUCAGGUCAGGCAGACCAGAUUCAGUCCUGGGACCCCAAAGAA